rnacentral:rRNA from 1 species
CCACUUUUCGGAUGGUAUGCUUAAAGAUGAGCUUGCGCCACAUUAGUUUGUUGGUGGGGUAAUGGCCUACCAAGACGAUGAUGUGUAGCUGGACUGAGAGGUCGAACAGCCACAUUGGGACUGAGACACGGCCCAAACUCCUACGGGAGGCAGCAGUAGGGAAUUUUCGGCAAUGGAGGAAACUCUGACCGAGCAACGCCGCGUGAACGAUGAAGUAUUUCGGUAUGUAAAGUUCUUUUAUUGAAGAAGAAAAAAUAGUGGAAAAACUAUCUUGACGUUAUUCAAUGAAUAAGCCCCGGCUAACUAUGUGCCAGCAGCCGCGGUAAGACAUAGGGGGCGAGCGUUAUCCGGAAUUAUUGGGCGUAAAGGGUGCGUAGGCGGUUAGGAAAGUCUAUAAUUUAAUUUCAGUGCUUAACGCUGUCUUGUUAUAGAAACUACCUUGACUAGAGUUAGAUAGAGGCAAGCGGAAUUCCAUGUGUAGCGGUAAAAUGUGUAAAUAUAUGGAGGAACACCAGAAGCGUAGGCGGCUUGCUGGGUCUUGACUGACGCUGAGGCACGAAAGCGUGGGUAGCAAACAGGAUUAGAUACCCUGGUAGUCCACGCCGUAAACGAUGAGUACUAAGUGUCGGGAUAAAACUCGGUACUGAAGUUAACACAUUAAGUACUCCGCCUGAGUAGUACGUACGCAAGUAUGAAACUUAAAGGAAUUGACGGGACUCCGCACAAGCGGUGGAUCAUGUUGUUUAAUUCGAAGAUACACGAAAAAUCUUACCAGGUCUUGACAUGCUCUGCAAAGCUAUAGAAAUAUAGUGGAGGUUAUCAGGGACACAGGUGGUGCAUGGUUGUCGUCAGUUCGUGUCGUGAGAUGUUAGGUUAAGUCCUAAAACGAGCGCAACCCUUGUCGUUAGUUACCAGCACGUAAUGGUGGGCACUUUAACGAGACUGCCAAUUAAACAUUGGAGGAAGGUGAGGAUUACGUCAAAUCAUCAUGCCCCUUAUGAUCUGGGCUACAAACGUGAUACAAUGGCUGUUACAAAGAGUAGCUGAAGCGCGAGUUUUUAGCCAAUCUCAAAAAAGCAGUCUCAGUUCGGAUUGAAGUCUGUAACUCGACUUCAUGAAGUUGGAAUCGCUAGUAAUCGCGAAUCAGCAUGUCCCGGGGGAAUACGUUCCCGGGGGUUUGGACCCACUCCCCCCGUCAAA